CCAGGGUUUAAGUGAUUCUCCUGCCUCAGCCUCCUGAGUAGCUGGGACUACAGGCACCCGCCACCAUGCCCAGCUAAUUUUUGUAGUUUUAGUACAGAUGGGGUUUUGCCAUGUUGGCCAGGCUGGUCUUGAACUCCUGACCUCGGGUAAUCCACCGGCCUUGGCCUCCCAAAGUGCUGGGAUUACAGGUGUGAGCCACCGCGCCCGUCCGUGUGAUCUCAUUUCUAUGAAAUGUCCAGGACAGGCCCAUCCACAGACAGGGAGAUGACAUUUGAUCUCAGACCCUGUUGUAGGUGGAACUGUGUUCCCGCAAAUGUUCAAGGCCGGGCGCGGUGGCUCACGCCUGUAAAUCCAGCAUUUUGGGAGGCCGAGGUGGGUGGAUCACCUGAGGUCAGGAGUU
rnacentral:lncRNA from 10 species